rnacentral:misc_RNA from 1 species
UUUCCGUAGGUGAACCAGCGGAAGGAUCAUUAUUGUAUAACCAAGGUGCGAGGCCUGCGGCUGCCCCGCCUGGUUGUGCACGCCCGAGUGCCGUCACACACCUCCAUCUCACCCCUAUGUGCCCCACCGCGAGGGUCCCCCCUCGGGUAGUUUGGUGGGGGGCUUACGUCUUCUCUCAAACUUAGUAUGCAGUGUUGAAUGUCUUUUUUGUUUUUGCGAUCAUGCAAUAAAAACAACUUACAACAAAGGAUCACUUGGCUCUCGCAUCGAUGCAGAACG